AAGUCGUAACUUCCAUAGGUGAACCUGCGGAAGGAUCAUUAACACGUAUCCAAACGUUUAAAAAAAAAGAAAGGGUUUCUCCAGACACCCCAAUACCACUUUCACGUACGCAGGGGACUUUAAGGAGCAGGCUUGGUUAUGCCACGAUCUCUCGAUUGCAGCUAUGGCUCUCACCCAACCAGACGGGCCCUGAAUCAAACUAGUUCAGCGAUGAUUUACCAGGGAUUUUCUAGCCAGGCGGGCUGCAAGAGCAAGCAAAUGUUCACUGGAUGAUGGACGGCCACCACGGCCGGUCGCUGCUGCUUGUGGGCGUUUGUGCCCCAGGAUUACCCCGCUACCAGUCGAAACGACCAACCUGCGCACCCAUUACGUGUUGAGCCCGUGGGUGUCGUAAUAUCUUGGUUCUC
rnacentral:misc_RNA from 1 species